UACGGGAGGCAGCAGUAGGGAAUUUUCGGCAAUGGGCGCAAGCCUGACCGAGCAACGCCGCGUGAAGGAUGAAGGUUUUCGGAUUGUAAACUUCUUUUAUCAGGGACGAAAAAUGACGGUACCUGAUGAAUAAGCUCCGGCUAACUACGUGCCAGCAGCCGCGGUAAU
rnacentral:rRNA from 1 species